UACGGAGGGGGCUAGCGUUGUUCGGAAUUACUGGGCGUAAGGCGCGCGUAGGCGGCUUUGUAAGUUAGAGGUGAAAGCCCGGAGCUCAACUCCGGAACUGCCUUUAAGACUGCAUCGCUAGAAUCAUGGAGAGGUGAGUGGAAUUCCGAGUGUAGAGGUGAAAUUCGUAGAUAUUCGGAAGAACACCGGUGGCGAAGGCGGCAACCUGGUCCUUUACUGACGCUGAGGCGCGAAAGCGUGGGGAGCAAACAGG
rnacentral:rRNA from 1 species